rnacentral:rRNA from 1 species
UGAGGAAUAUUGGGCAAUGCCCGCAAGGGUGACCCAGCAACGCCGCGUGGAGGAUGAAUGUCGUAAGAUUGUAAACUCCUGUUAGAGGGGAAGAAUAGUACCGGUUGGACCGGUAUAUGACUGUACCCUCAGAGAAAGCCCCGGCUAACUACGUGCCAGCAGCCGCGGUAAUACGUAGGGGGCAAGCGUUGUCCGGAUUUACUGGGUGUAAAGGGCGCGCAGGCGGGAUAAAAAGUCAGUGGUGAAAUCCUACAGCUUAACUGUAGAACUGCCUUCGAUACUUUUACUCUUGAGUUCGGGAGAGAGAGACGGAAUUCCAGGUGUAGUGGUGAAAUACGUAGAUAUCUGGAAGAACACCAGUUGCGAAGGCGGUCUCUUGGUCCGACACUGACGCUGAGGCGCGAAAGCGUGGGGAGCAAACA